ACGGAGGGUGCAAGCGUUGUCCGGAUUUAUUGGGUUUAAAGGGUGCGUAGGCGGAUUAUUAAGUCAGUGGUGAAAGUCUGCGGCUCAACCGCAGGAGUGCCAUUGAUACUGGUAGUCUUGAGUACAGUAGAGGUAGGCGGAAUUUAUGGUGUAGCGGUGAAAUGCAUAGAUACCAUAAAGAACACCGAUAGCGUAGGCAGCUUACUAUGUUGUAACUGACGCUGAGGCACGAAAGCGUGGGGAUCGAACAGG
rnacentral:rRNA from 1 species